UUAAGCCAUGCAUGUCUAAGUAUAAGCAAUUAUACAGCGAAACUGCGAAUGGCUCAUUAUAUAAGUUAUCGUUUAUUUGAUAGUACCUUACUACUUGGAUAACCGUGGUAAUUCUAGAGCUAAUACAUGCUGAAAAUCCCGACUUCGGAAGGGAUGUAUUUAUUAGAUUAAAAACCAAUGCCCUCUGGGCUCCUUGGUGAUUCAUAAUAACUUUUCGAAUCGCACGGCCUUGCGCCGGCGAUGGUUCAUUCAAAUUUCUUCCCUAUCAACUUUCGAUGUUUGGGUAUUGGCCAAACAUGGUCGCAACGGGUAACGGAGGGUUAGGGCUCGACCCCGGAGAAGGAGCCUGAGAAACGGCUACUACAUCCAAGGAAGGCAGCAGGCGCGCAAAUUACCCAAUCCCGAUUCGGGGAGGUAGUGACAAUAAAUACUGAUACAGGGCUCUUUUGGGUCUUGUAAUUGGAAUGAGUACAAUUUAAAUCUCUUAACGAGGAACAAUUGGAGGGCAAGUCUGGUGCCAGCAGCCGCGGUAAUUCCAGCUCCAAUAGCGUAUAUUAAAGUUGUUGUGGUUAAAAAGCUCGUAGUUGAACCUUGGGCCUGGCUGGCCGGUCCGCCUCACCGCGUGUACUGGUCCGGCCGGGCCUUUCCCUCUGUGGAACCUCAUGCCCUUCACUGGGUGUGGCGGGGAAACAGGACUUUUACUUUGAAAAAAUUAGAGUGCUCCAGGCAGGCCUAUGCUCGAAUACAUUAGCAUGGAAUAAUAAAAUAGGACGUGUGGUUCUAUUUUGUUGGUUUCUAGGACCGCCGUAAUGAUUAAUAGGGACAGUCGGGGGCAUCAGUAUUCAAUUGUCAGAGGUGAAAUUCUUGGAUUUAUUGAAGACUAACUACUGCGAAAGCAUUUGCCAAGGAUGUUUUCAUUAAUCAGGAACGAAAGUUAGGGGAUCGAAGACGAUCAGAUACCGUCGUAGUCUUAACCAUAAACUAUGCCGAC
rnacentral:rRNA from 1 species